rnacentral:misc_RNA from 1 species
GGAAUGUUUUGCUAGGUUUUGAUUUUAGGAGAAUAGGAAUCAUGGAUUCUUGACUUAGACUUGCUUUUUGAGUGGCUUUAAGCACUGUGAAAUGGCAGAAGUUGAAGAUCUUUCUUUUGUUUGUUCAUGGAUCAAGGAGAAAAAUAAGAAAAACGUCUUAAAAAUGCUGUUUCUUAUCCUCUAUAGAUCUACUAGCUAAGAUCACGUUCAUAACAGUUAAACCCCUUUGGUUUCGUUGAAAUUUGCUUAGAAGUCAUUUUUUUGGUUUUUUGGCUUCAACAUAAUGGAAGUUAUCGAGAAGCAAGUUCUGCAGUUGAUCAUCUUGACAGAAAUUUAUCUAGAAUAGAUUUAGGCAAACUCUAAAUAGAAAUAACCACAUGGUUAACCUAUUGGCAUUUUUGGGUGCUCCUCACAUUGUCGAUGCAAGGACUCUAAAUUGAACUGUACAUUUAGUCACUAACAAGGGUUCUUUGCACUUAAAAAGAGCUCAAAAUUUGGAUGACUCCUAAGCCAAGCAAUUUAAGGACGAAGAAGAGUUCACCUACGGUAUCUUAGAAU